rnacentral:rRNA from 1 species
UGGGGAAUAUUGGACAAUGGGCGCAAGCCUGAUCCAGCCAUGCCGCGUGAGUGAUGAAGGCCCCUAGGGUUGNAAAGCUCUUUCAGCGAGGAGGAUAAUGUCGUUACUCGCAGAAGAAGCCCCGGCUAACUUCGUGCCAGCAGCCGCGGUAAUACGAAGGGGGCUAGCGUUGUUCGGAAUCACUGGGCGUAAAGCGCACGUAGGCGGACUUUUAAGUCAGGGGUGAAAUCCCGGGGCUCAACCUCGGAACUGCCUUUGAUACUGGAAGUCUGGAGUCCGAGAGAGGUGAGUGGAACUCCGAGUGUAGAGGUGAAAUUCGUAGAUAUCCGGAAGAACACCAGUGGCGAAGGCGGCUCACUGGCUCGGUACUGACGCUGAGGUGCGAAAAGCGUGGGGAGCAAAACAGGAUUAGAUACCCUGGUAGUCCACGCCGUAAACGAUGGAAGCUAGCCGUCAGGGUGCAUGCAUCUUGGUGGCGCAGUUAACGCAUUAAGCUUCCCGCCUGGGGAGUACGGUCGCAAGAUUAAAACUCAAAGGAAUUGACGGGGUCAUAGCUGUUUCCU